UACGGAGGGUGCGAGCGUUGUCCGGAAUCACUGGGCGUAAAGGGCGCGUAGGCGGCUCAUGAAGGCUGUGGUGAAAGUCCGGGGCUCAACCUCGGAUCGGCCGUGGCGACUCGUGGGCUGGAGCACUGUAGAGGCGGGUGGAAUUCCGGGUGUAGCGGUGGAAUGCGUAGAGAUCCGGGAAGAACACCAGUGGCGAAGGCGGCCCGCUGGGCAGUGGCUGACGCUGAAGCGCGACAGCGUGGGGAGCAAACAGG
rnacentral:rRNA from 1 species